UUGCGGUUAAAAAGCUCGUAGUUGGAUUUCUGUUGAGGAUGGCCGGUCCGCACUAUGUGCGUGUAUCUGGUUCAGCCUCGGCAUCCUCUCGAAAGCCGUUGCUGCGCUUGAUUGCGUGGCUCGGAAUUCGGGACUUUUACUUUGAGGAAAUUAGAGUGUUCACGGCAGGCAAGCGCCUUGAAUAUAUUAGCAUGGAAUAAUGUUAUAGGAUUUUGGUCCUAUUUUGUUGGUUUCUAGGGCUGAAAUAAUGAUUAAUAGGGACAAUUGGGGGCAUUCGUAUUAACGCGUCAGAGGUGGAAUUCUUGGAUUGCGUUACGACGAACUACUGUGAAAGCAUUUGCCAAGGAUGUUUUCAUUGAUCAAGAACGAAAGUAAGGGGAUCGAAGAUGAUUAGAUACCGUCGUAGUCUUUACCAUAAACUAUGCCAACUAGAGAUGGGGCGUGUUAUUUAUGACUCGCUCCGCACC
rnacentral:rRNA from 1 species